GCCCAGCUUAUUGGCUCAUUAUGUGCCUGGAACAUGAAGGAUGACAAGGAGAUGGAAUUCUGGCUCAGCAGUUUGAGAGCCCAGCCCCCAACUUGCUCAGCCCUCCCCCCUCCUCCUCUCUUGCUUUUCUCUUCUCUCUUCCCCCGCUCUCCCGCCUCCUGCUGCAGAUCUCUUUCUGCUGCCUGGCAACCGCACCACAGGCAAUGUCACACAGGAUUGCUUAUUACAGCUUCAGAAAAAUAAACAGGAGGAGGAAAUUUCUUGCUGUUACAUUAGAACUAUUAUGUACAAUGUUCCAAAGCCAG
rnacentral:lncRNA from 10 species